rnacentral:rRNA from 1 species
CAGUCGCCGCGGUAAUACGAAGGGUGCAAGCGUUAAUCGGAAUUACUGGGCGUAAAGCGUGCGUAGGCGGUGAGUUAAGUCUGUUGUGAAAUCCCCGGGCUCAACCUGGGAAUGGCAAUGGAUACUGGCAAGCUAGAGUGUGUCAGAGGAUGGUGGAAUUCCCGGUGUAGCGGUGAAAUGCGUAGAGAUCGGGAGGAACAUCAGUGGCGAAGGCGGCCAUCUGGGACAACACUGACGCUGAGGCACGAAAGCGUGGGGAGCAAACAGGAUUAGAUACCCCGGUAGUCCCUGUCUCUUAUAC